rnacentral:rRNA from 1 species
AUUGAACGCUGGCGGCAUGCUUUACACAUGCAAGUCGAACGGUAACAGGCCGCAAGGUGCUGACGAGUGGCGAACGGGUGAGUAAUGCAUCGGAACGUGCCCAGUCGUGGGGGAUAACUAUCCGAAAGGAUAGCUAAUACCGCAUACGAUCUGCGGAUGAAAGCGGGGGACCUUCGGGCCUCGCGCGAUUGGAGCGGCCGAUGUCAGAUUAGGUAGUUGGUGGGGUAAAGGCUCACCAAGCCAACGAUCUGUAGCUGGUCUGAGAGGACGACCAGCCAGACUGGGACUGAGACACGGCCCAGACUCCUACGGGAGGCAGCAGUGGGGAAUUUUGGACAAUGGGCGCAAGCCUGAUCCAGCAAUGCCGCGUGCAGGAAGAAGGCCUUCGGGUUGUAAACUGCUUUUGUACGGAACGAAACGGCUCUGGUUAAUACCUGGGGCUAAUGACGGUACCGUAAGAAUAAGCACCGGCUAACUACGUGCCAGCAGCCGCAGUAA